rnacentral:sRNA from 1 species
AAUCUUCUGCCCUCUCCUCUGCUUCCCCGGCCUCCCCCUUCUGACUCUCCUCUCCCCUCUUUGUAUCCCCCAUCUUGCCUCCCUGCUUCCCACAUCCGACCACCCGACCUCUCUCCUCAGACGUGGACGAAUGUCGCGAGCGAGGCCCAGCCCUGUGCGGGUCGCAGCGCUGUGAGAACUCUCCCGGCUCCUACCGCUGUGUCCGGGACUGCGAUCCUGGGUACCACGCGGGCCCCGAGGGCACCUGUGACGAUGUGGAUGAGUGCCAAGAAUAUGGUCCCGAGAUUUGUGGAGCCCAGCGUUGUGAGAACACCCCUGGCUCCUACCGCUGCACACCAGCCUGUGACCCUGGCUAUCAGCCCACGCCAGGGGGCGGAUGCCAGGAUGUGAACGAGUGUGAAACACUACAGGGUGUAUGUGGAGCUGCCCUGUGUGAAAAUGUCGAAGGCUCCUUCCUCUGUGUCUGCCCCAACAGCCCGGAGGAGUUUGACCCCAUGACUGGACGCUGUGUUCCCCCACGAACUUCUGCUGACGUGGACGAAUGUCAGCUCUUCCGAGACCAGGUGUGCAAGA